GACGAACGCUGGCGGCGUGCCUAACACAUGCAAGUCGAACGAAGUGGCGAACGGGUGAGUAACGCGUAAUCAACCUGCCCUUCAGAGGGGGACAACAGUUGGAAACGACUGCUAAUACCGCAUACGGAAGGAGGGGAUUGCGGCUGAUUGGCUAUUUGGAGGGGUACAGGCCCACCAAGGCGAUGUUCAGUAGCCGAUCUGGGAGGAUGAACGGCCAAAUGUGGACUGAGACACGGCCCAGACUCCUACGGGAGGCAGCAGUGGGGAAUCUUCCGCAAUGGACGAAAGUCUGACGGAGCAACGCCGCGGGGGUGAUGACGGCCUUCGGGUUGUAAAGCUCUGUUGAUCGGGACGCGGUACCGGAAUAGAAAGCCACGACUAACUACGUGCCAGCAGCCGCGGUAAUUC
rnacentral:rRNA from 1 species